CCUACGGGUGGCAGCAGUGGGGAAUAUUGCGCAAUGGGCGAAAGCCGGACGCAGCGACGCCGCGUGAGGGAUGAAGGUCUUCGGAUCGUAAACCUCUGUCAGCAGGGAAGAACGGUCACGGGGCUAAUCAGCAGUGAAUUGACGGUACCGGCAAAGGAAGCACCGGCUAACGCCGGGCCAGCAGCCGCGGUAAUACGGAGGGUGCGAGCGUUAAUCGGAAUUACUGGGCGUAAAGCGCUCGUAGGCGGUAUGUCAAGUCAAGGGUGAAAUCCCCGCGCUCACCGUGGGAACGGCCUUUGAAACUGGCACACUGGAGUGUGUGAGAGGAUAGUGGAAUUCCAGGUGU
rnacentral:rRNA from 1 species